rnacentral:pre_miRNA from 3 species
UGGAGUGUGACAAUGGUGUUUGUGUCCAGUCUAUCAAACGCCAUUAUCACACUAAAUA